rnacentral:lncRNA from 1 species
CAGGUACAGUUGGUGACUCGUUGGUGACUUGUUGGUGACUUGUGAUCCUGUUGGUGACUAUUGGUUCAGAAUUUUGGGGUCUCAUAUGACUUUGGGCUUCAGAUGAAUAUGUGGUUCCGAGUUCAAGCCGAAGCUUUGAUCCUGUGUUCUGAGAGACACAGCCAACCAGUCGUGUCUGCAUCAUUUGCAUCAUAGCAUGUUUAUUUUCAAAAAAAAAUACGCAAAAAAAAAAGAAAAGAAAAA